rnacentral:lncRNA from 1 species
CACACCUUGGGAUGCAUUUGUAUGUGGCUCUAUGGGUGUUUAUGUGUAACUAUGUAUCCUCAAAGUUGACAUAUGAUAAAGACAAAAGCUGAACUGGCAGUCAUCUCACACAGACAGUGGCCACAUUUCCUAGGAUAGCCAGGGAUAUGAUCCUACAUGGUAUCGAGAUGAUUGAUGGAAGGGAAAGAGGCUGAGAGUGAGCCCACAGCUGCAGAAGAUUGACAGGGAGUAGGAUUGUAUUUCAACAGCGAUCAUGACAAAAGAACUGCCCAUUGCUCAUGCACAUGCUCUACAGAAAACAGACUUGAUAUGCCCUUGGUGUGGAAGAAACUUCAGCAGCAUAUCAAUUUUUCUAGCCACCUCAGCAGACUAGAAACAAGUGCAAUUGCAGUGACAUCUUCAGAGUGAAUGCAAUAACCCAAAGGGAGGAGAUUAGUCAUUCUUCACCUUCUUUGCUCACAUUGUUGCUUGGCUGUUAACAACAGUUAACGGAUGAAUGCUGAAGGGAUUGCCCAUUGCGCCCUCUCUGCACGCUGUGACUUCCGCUUCCCAUUACAUUGGUAAAUCUGCAUGAACCAGCCCAAUGGUAAAUUUGUUUGUGGAAAGUGCAGGACCUCGAAGACUCAGGAAGUUUUGCUUCACUUCAAUGGAUAUUGGUACAAUUUUGUAUCUAGAAACUGCUUUUUGUGUGCAUUUGUGUAAUUUCCCUUCUCUGGAUCCCUUGUUAGCUGGGUUUGUACUGAAUUCACUUAAAUAAAUAACUUUUUUUUCUUCAAAUACAUAGUCAAAAACAAGGGCAGGUGUUUAUUGUUUUCUAGAGCUUUGAUGCUUAUGAAGUUCUAGUAGAGAAACUCCAAAUGAAACACAUAAAGUCCCUUUGUGACUCUUGGAACCUAGGUCCUUGGAAGAUGGAUUCUGAGGCUCACCUCAUAGCACGUUUCCAAAUUCAUGCUCUUAAGAUCCUGGUGAUGUUCCUGGAUCAGCGGAACUGCUUCAGAUAAACUCAGCAUGCUCUCACCUCUGUGGGCUUCUGAUGGUGUCAUGGGCAUGGGCCAGGUCUCCUCUGCUAUGCCUCAAUGACUUCAACAGUGGGGAUGUGCAGCAAACCUAAAGGAGCCCUGAUACUCUGACAUGCUGUAAGAAGCUCAGAAAAUUGCACACUGCACACAAUGGCAAGCUUGAAAUACGACACAGCAACAUUCCCAACAUUUGUUGAGUCUUCUGAGUGUGGUUCCUUAUAGAAAGGAUUUAACUGAGAAAACAUUUGGGACAUAAUCCAGCCACAGGCACUUCUUGGCUCAUAUGAAACCUCAUUCUUGGUUCAAAGACAGUUUUAUAUUACGGAGUUUCUGUUUUUAUUUUAUUAAAUUGAUCUAAAAUUGAUUUGGGUGGUCAUUGCACAACUCCUUGUAUGUACUAAGAACCAUGGAAUUGUUAAUUUUAAACAAGUGAAGUGUGGAAUAUGUGAAUUAUAUAUCCAUAAAGUUGUUGUAUUUUUUUUUAAUUUUAUAUUUAAGAAACCAGUUAACUUUAUUUCAUUCCAUACUUCUCGAAUUACUUUGAUCACAGAAUUUUGGGGUUAUUUUUUUCAGUUGGAUGACAUUGUAUCCAAUACAAUUUUGACAAAGUAGAUCUAGGGGGAACUUGGAAAGAGCUGAGUUCAAACCCUGGCUGUGCUAGUUUUCUAAGUGACUGCGGGGCCACAGAGUUAAGUGAGCUUGGCAAGUCAUUCCAACCUCUGAAGCUCCAGACACAGGACCGUGUGCCUCAACCAUCCCUGCAAAGAUGAAAUGAGUUGACAGAUGAAAGGCUAAUCACAGUGCUCGGCACACAGGGAGAGCCUGCAAGCACAGCUCAAGCUGAAUCUGAACAGCUGCAUUGAGAAAAGCAAAAUCAAGGCAAAUAAAUGAAAACCAAUUUCUCGUAAUGAUGAAGACUGUUAUGGCAAACUUUGUGAAGAAGCAAAUAGUCCACAC